rnacentral:rRNA from 1 species
GGUAUAGACCCGAAACCCGGUGAUCUAGCCAUGGGCAGGUUGAAGGUUGGGUAACACUAACUGGAGGACCGAACCGACUAAUGUUGAAAAAUUAGCGGAUGACUUGUGGCUGGGGGUGAAAGGCCAAUCAAACCGGGAGAUAGCUGGUUCUCCCCGAAAGCUAUUUAGGUAGCGCCUCGUGAAUUCAUCUCCGGGGGUAGAGCACUGU